CUUCACUAAUGUUCUCUGUGGUUGUAGUAAUUUCUGCCAUUUUGUCUGCCUUCUAAACUUUUGUGUUUCUUUAAAAAAAAUCCUUUUGAUAGAAGUGUCUGGUGACCUAUAAAGAACAGCGUAUUAUAUUUUGACUGAAAUGGUCAUGUUAUCCAUGAAGAUGCAGACUUUUUGUCAAUUAUUCUGUGUGCCAAACAGAUUGCAUAAGAGUGUGAGUACAGUUCUUUAGGUACUUAUGAAAAUGUUCAAAACUAUAUUUUUUUACAUACAAUAAUCUCUUGCUCGUUUAUUUGUUUUUCGCAAUGGUGUGUUAUUUUUUCAUAGACUUAUGAGUAUAAAUAUGAUCCUUUGGAUUCAGUGGCGGAUCCAGUUAGGGUUCUGUGCUUUGAACACCCUUUUUUUUUUACGAUCAUUGGUUUUAAAUUGGAACAAAUGUUUAGAACCCUCUUUUAAAAAUGACUGGUCCCGCCCCUGGGUAUCUUUCACUUUUUGCUAAAAUAAUAGGUACAUUUU
rnacentral:lncRNA from 1 species